AGCAGUGAGGAAAUAUUGGACAAGGGAUGGAAAUCUGAUCCAGCCAUGCCGCGUGCAGGAAGACGGCCUUAUGGGUUGUAAACUGCUUUUAUACGGGAGCAAUAAGGGUUACGAGUAAUCCGAUGAGAGUACUGUAUGAAUAAGGAUCGGCUAACUCCGUGCCAGCAGCCGCGGUAAUACGGAGGAUCCGAGCGUUAUCCGGAAUUAUUGGGUUUAAAGGGUGCGUAGGCGGCCAUUUAAGUCAGCGGUGAAAUUUUGCAGCUUAACUGUAACAGUGCCGUUGAUACUGUUUGGCUAGGAUUUGGUUGUAGUGUGCGGAAUGUGUGGUGUAGCGGUGAAAUGCUUAGAUAUCACACAGAACACCGAUUGCGAAGGCAGCACACUAAGUCAUUAUUGACGCUGAGGCACGAAAGUGUGGGGAUCAAAAAGGAUUAGAUACCCUGGUAGUCCACACUGUAAACCAUGAAAGUCGCUGUCGGCGAUACACAGUCGGUGGCCAAGCGAAAGCAUUAAGUUAUCCACCUGGGGAGUACGACCGCAAGGUUGAAACUCAAAGGAAUUGACGGGGGCCCGCACAAGCGGAGGAACAUGUGGUUUAAUUCGAUGAUACGCGAGGAACCUUACCCGGGCUCGAACGGUGCAUGAAUAUACGAGAGAUUGUAUAGUCCUUCGGGACAUGUAUCGAGGUGCUGCAUGGUUGUCGUCAGCUCGUGCCGUGAGGUGUCGGCUUAAGUGCCAUAACGAGCGCAACCCUUGUCAUUAGUUGCCAUCAGGUCAAGCUGGGGACUUUAAUGAGACUGCCACCGUAAGGUGUGAGGAAGGGGGGGAUGACGUCAAAUCAGCACGGCCCUUAUGUCCGGGGCGACACACGUGUUACAAUGGGAGGUACAGAGGGCAGCUAUCCGGUGACGGAAUGCUAAUCUCCAAAACCUUUCUCAGUUCGGAUUGGAGUCUGCAACUCGACUCCAUGAAGGUGGAUUCGCUAGUAAUCGCGCAUCAGCCAUGGCGCGGUGAAUACGUUCCCGGG
rnacentral:rRNA from 1 species